UACGGGGGGAGCAAGCGUUGUUCGGAUUUACUGGGCGUAAAGGGCGCGUAGGCGGUCAGCACAAGUCAGUUGUGAAAUCUCCGGGCUUAACUCGGAAAGGUCAACUGAUACUGUGCGACUAGAGUGCGGAAGGGGCAACUGGAAUUCUCGGUGCAGCGGUGAAAUGCGUAGAUAUCGAGAGGAACACCUGCGGCGAAGGCAGCUCGCUAGGACGGUACUGACGCUGAGACGCGAAAGCGUGGGGAGCGAACAGG
rnacentral:rRNA from 1 species